GCGCUUGCAAUCAGACUUGAGUGUAAUGGUUCCCCCUUGCUUUUGCUUGGGCUACUCCGUUAUAUCCAGGCCAUCAUCGGUUCUAGGAGUUGGUUAAAGGCCUUGGGAAUGUACCUACCUCCGGGUAGACUUAUAGCCUAGGGUGUCAUGCAACUUCCCGGGACCGAGGUACGCGCUUCGGCGAGGAUGAUGGCGUAAUGGUUGUAAGCGACCCGUCUUGAAACACGGACCAAGGAGUC
rnacentral:rRNA from 1 species